GUGCUCACUUUGGCAGCACAUAUACUAUAAUUGAAACAAUACAGAGAAGGUUAGCAUGGCCCCUGCCCAAGGAUGACAUGCAAAUUCGUAAAGCAAAAACCACAAUG
rnacentral:snRNA from 1 species